rnacentral:rRNA from 1 species
CCUACGGGGUGCAGCAGUGGGGAAUAUUGGACAAUGGGCGAAAGCCUGAUCCAGCCAUGCCGCGUGUGUGAAGAAGGCCUUCGGGUUGUAAAGCACUUUCAGUGGGGAAGAAAGCCUUGGGGCUAAUACCCUCGAGGAAGGACAUCACCCACAGAAGAAGCACCGGCUAACUCCGUGCUAGCAGCCGCGGUAAUACGGAGGGUGCGAGCGUUAAUCGGAAUUACUGGGCGUAAAGCGCGCGUAGGCGGUCUGAUAAGCCGGUUGUGAAAGCCCCGGGCUCAACCUGGGAACGGCAUCCGGAACUGGCAGGCUAGAGUGCAGGAGAGGAAGGGAGAAUUCCCGGUGGAGGGGGGAAAUGCGUAGAGAUCGGGAGGAAUACCAGUGGCGAAGGCGGCCUUCUGAACUGACACUGACGCUGAGGUGCGAAAGCGUGGGUAGCAAACAGGAUUAGAUACCCUGGUAGUC